UGACUGUGGGUGCAGGAGACCAUGCCGCUUCCUGCCCCUGCUGUCACUCCUUCCUUACUUUCUGCCACGUCUUCCUGGCCGCUCUGGAAUCAUCUUCUUGAACUCUAAGCUGGGUCCCCAAAGAGAUCAGAAGAAGACACCAGAUCCCCUGCAACAGCAGUUGUGAACUACCCAAUGUGGAUGCUGGGAACCAAACACCAAUCCUCCCAUGAGCAGCAAGGGCUCACAGCGCCGAGCCACCUCUCCAGCCCCUAAAUAAAGUUUUAUUGGAUUGCACCUAUGACCUUUCCUUUAUGGACUGCCUGUGGCUGCACUCACGCUCAGAAGGCAGCACUAAUUAGGUGCAACAGAGAUCCAUGUCCCGCAAAGCUCGGAUAUCAACCCUCUGACCCCUUGUAAGAAACACACUGUUGAACGCCGCCUGACACCAUCUGUCAGACUGUCAUACGUACGAGCCAGGCUGAGAGCACGGCAAGAUAAGGACAACAGAGCCUCGCAGCUUCUGACAGAGCAAAGGAACCAUCAUGGCACGCAGAGAGGAGGCAAUGUUAAGAGACGCAGUGGAUUAGAAGCAGCCGCACGGUGUGUGGAAGCUGUGUCGUGCACAGGCAUCCAUUGCGUUCAUUCUGGGGGCAUGGGAAGUCUCACUUAUGAGAAGCUGAAUCCUGAAAGCUAAUCAAGAAUAUUGCUUUCUAAUAAAGUACAAACAGCUUCUGCUUCCUUUAA